rnacentral:rRNA from 1 species
CCCUCUGACCAUCCCCUCCACGGUAUAAGGUGUGGUAGAGGUGGUCUGGCAGGUAGGUGGCGGCGGUGCUGCCAAGGGGUAGCGGCUUCCGGUCGUUUUGUCCAGUGAUAUAGGGACGCCAGCACUUGAUCGAGGCCACCGAAACAUGCUCCUCUUCUCCAGCAGGGCGGCCGCACUAGGUUAAGUUGCCUUCGCUGCGGCGGCGGAGCAGGUUCGCGCUGGAGUCGAGGUGCGGCCGCGAACCAGCGAAGGGGCGCGAGACGUUCGAGCCCCUGACAAAGAGAGGACAGGGUAGGAGUGGAGGGGCUAACCUUCCUAGAUCUCUAAAGUGGUCGGCGGGAACUCAGUAAUGUUAGAUGCAUCCAUAGUAGCUGGAGGAGAAGUUCAAACCAGAGAGGAGGAUGAAGUACUCGAGUACAUUACUACAUUUACCCCUAAGGAUGGAUAAAAAACUAUCUGACCUCCUACAAACACAGUAGUUCUCACGUAGGCUUAAACAAACGUACUCAAACUGUAGUUUUGCCCCUACCAUUCAACACUACCCCUUUUAAUGAACAGUUCCUUAGUGAGUACAGACAACAUAACUCUCCUCGUACUUUAAUGGUAAGAUACACUUUAUUUGUAAGUAUACGAGUCCGAAUAUUAUAGUCUUAAAAGAACCGCAUAGGCGGUGUUAGGAUCCUACCGACGCUGGAGUCGUAGCAAAAAGAAGUAACAUCAAACGCAUGAAAGAUCUACGAUUAAAACAACCGGUUCAAGAACAUGACAAAGGACUAAGAAUAGCUCUAUGGGUAUAGGUUAAGGUUUUCCUUCCAUAAAAACAGGUUGAUCACAACAAGAACUACAACAAACUUCGUGGAGAGUAAGGAAUCAAGUUAGAAAAACACAAUCCCUAGGUCCACACCGGAGUGGUACAUGUAUACGAGGGAGUUUUGUAUGUAAAAAGAAGGAGACGUCUUAAGGGGAAAACACUUGACUGAAAUCAACAUAUCGGACUAACGGAAUAGUUUCAGUGACUUAAAGAGAACCGAAAAAAACCCUUCCAUACCCUCUUUACAAAACAAGAUGCUAUAUAGCAACAUGGUGUUAUGUACUACUCGUCUAGAACGACGUUUUAUAUAACAACUCCACGGCGAUCAUCGAGUCUCAGUAUGGAUGUCGAUCAUCGAGGAGGUUUGUAAUAAUAUUACAAUGAUGAAUUACAUAUAAGACCUCCACGACGAUUUUAAAGGAUGAUCUUAUUUUAUUUAGUAAAAACCCUAAGGAUAGAUAAAUCUUACGUAUACACUGAAAGGAUGGUAUAUACAUACCCAAAUUUCAUCUAUAUGGAGUACGAGCUCAAUUUCAUUUGUGAAGUGUAUGAAGAACAUCUCAAAUGAUAAUAAAAAACUCAAAAAACCCACGUUAGUAACUAAAAGUGUAUUUUUAAUCCUUUAAUGCAAAAGUCCAUCCUUAAUAUAGUGUUUUCCGUAGGGGUCCGCACGGUAAAAGUGUCAACUUUCUUCUACUAUUCGAAGAUCAGCAGUUGUUUACAUAACUACUUAAAGGUGUUAAUCAUUACGUUUAAUCGCAGCCGAAGUCAAAAGACCAAAAGAAAACGUUAGACGUAGAGGUAUCUAACAAACCCGUUAUAUCUUGACUUCGUGAACGUCAAAGACAUGUCAAAACCUAUAUUAUAGUAAUUAUUUAUACAACUCCUGAUUUUAGAAUAGUUAGUUAACCUACGAUUUAAAACAUCAACUCUUUAUCGAUUGAGAGAGGGACGUUUUAUUUUACAUCACUUCAUCAAUCGAGAGUAUACUCGUGCAUAAAUCUAGAAGACCGUGACAAUACGUACCUAGAUUGAUCUUCGAAGUAAACCCACUUUCUGGUAACAGAACUCUAACUUUAAGUACUACUAUAUGAUGAACAAGAUAUGUCUACUUUGUUUAGAGACACAUAUGUCCAUAAACCAUGAAUUACAUAAGGAAUAAAGGAACAAAAGACCGACCCGACGAAACAAGUCUUAUGCUAAAAGACAAAUCGUGUUGGUGUUGGUGCACGUAGACGAGCUGGACAACUACGAACGGUGUUUAAGUUUUCGGACUGACUUCGACGGUUUCGUUCUUCUUCUAUCUUCUUAAGACUUAAAAAUACGGUACUUGCCUUGUAGAGUAAGUCGACCUGAGAUCAAUAAGUCAAGUGUUUUCUAUCUAGACUUACGUUCGCUUUAAACAUUGUACUUCCGUUUCUAAAGUGGCGGUUAAGUAAAAGUACUACAUAUCGCUUAUGAACUAACUCCACAUUACGUAAAUGGAAGACUUAAUAAUACAGCUAUUUUAACGAGGUACGCUCACAAACAGUUUUAAGGCACAUCUUCAUCG